rnacentral:rRNA from 1 species
UCGACGGGUAGCCGGCCUGAGAGGGUGACCGGCCACACUGGGACUGAGACACGGCCCAGACUCCUACGGGGAGGCAGCAGUGGGGAAUAUUGCACAAUGGGCGCAAGCCUGAUGCAGCAACGCCGCGUGAGGGACGACGGCCUUCGGGUUGUAAACCUCUUUUAGUAGGGAAGAAGCCUUCGGGUGACGGUACCUGCAGAAAAAGCGCCGGCUAACUACGUGCCAGCAGCCGCGGUAAUACGUAGGGCGCAAGCGUUAUCCGGAAUUAUUGGGCGUAAAGAGCUCGUAGGCGGUUUGUCACGUCUGCUGUGAAAACUGGAGGCUCAACCUCCAGCCUGCAGUGGGUACGGGCAGACUAGAGUGCGGUAGGGGAGAUUGGAAUUCCUGGUGUAGCGGUGGAAUGCGCAGAUAUCAGGAGGAACACCGAUGGCGAAGGCAGAUCUCUGGGCCGUAACUGACGCUGAGGAGCGAAAGAGUGGGGAGCAAACAGGCUUAGAUACCCUGGUAGUCCACUCCGUAAACGUUGGGAACUAGUUGUGGGGGCCUUUCCACGGUCUCCGUGACGCAGCUAACGCAUUAAGUUCCCCGCCUGGGGAGUACGGCCGCAAGGCUAAAACUCAAAGGAAUUGACGGGGACCCGCACAAGCGGCGGAGCAUGCGGAUUAAUUCGAUGCAACGCGAAGAACCUUACCAAGGCUUGACAUAUACCGGAAACGGCUGGAGACAGUCGCCCCCUUGUGGUCGGUAUACAGGUGGUGCAUGGUUGUCGUCAGCUCGUGUCGUGAGAUGUUGGGUUAAGUCCCGCAACGAGCGCAACCCUCGUUCUAUGUUGCCAGCACGUAAUGGUGGGAACUCAUGGGAUACUGCCGGGGUCAACUCGGAGGAAGGUGGGGAUGACGUCAAAUCAUCAUGCCCCUUAUGUCUUGGGCUUCACGCAUGCUACAAUGGCCGGUACAAUGGGCAGCGAUACCGUGAGGUGGAGCGAAUCCCAAAAAGCCGGUCCCAGUUCGGAUUGAGGUCUGCAACUCGACCUCAUGAAGUCGGAGUCGCUAGUAAUCGCAGAUCA